GAUCAUGGCUCAGGACGAACGCUGGCGGCGUGCUUAACGCAUGCAAGUCGAACGAGAAUCUACUGAAGGAGGAUUCGUCCAACGGAUGUAGAGGAAAGUGGCGGACGGGUGAGUAACGCGUGAGGAACCUGCCUUGAAGAGGGGGACAACAGUUGGAAACGACUGCUAAUACCGCAUGACGCAUAGGGGUCGCAUGAUCUUUAUGCCAAAGAUUUAUCGCUUCAAGAUGG
rnacentral:rRNA from 1 species